rnacentral:snoRNA from 1 species
AACCCAUGAUUUGGGCAUUUUAUCUGUAUCACUUUGAAUCUCUCCCAUGUUUCACAAAAGGAUUCAUCUAAUCCUUGUCUAAACAUAGAAAUAUCAGACUUUUUUUU